ensembl:snoRNA U8 U8 small nucleolar RNA
UAGUCAGGCGGGAUAAUCCUUAUCUGUUCCUCCUUGUGGAGGGCAGUAGAAUGUGGUAAUUGGAGUUGCAUAAUACUUGAUUAAUAUCUCUGUGUAAUGAGGGCUUGCAAUACCCUGAUUGCUCCUUUCUAAU